rnacentral:rRNA from 1 species
CCUACGGGCGGCAGCAGUCGAGAAUCAUUCACAAUGGGGGAAACCCUGAUGGUGCGACGCCGCGUGGGGGAAUGAAGGUCUUCGGAUUGUAAACCCCUGUCAUGUGGGAGCAAAUUAAAAAGAUAGUACCACAAGAGGAAGAGACGGCUAACUCUGUGCCAGCAGCCGCGGUAAUACAGAGGUCUCAAGCGUUGUUCGGAAUCACUGGGCGGAAAGCGUGCGUAGGCUGUUUCGUAAGUCGUGUGUGAAAGGCGCGGGCUCAACCCGCGGACGGCACAUGAUACUGCGAGACUAGAGUAAUGUAGGGGGAACCGGAAUUCUCGGUGUAGCAGUGAAAUGCGUAGAUAUCGAGAGGAACACUCGUGGCGAAGGCGGGGUCCUGGACAUUAACUGACGCUGAGGCACGAAGGCCAGGGGAGCGAAAGGGAUUAGAUACCCCAGUAGUC